ensembl:snoRNA
AUGCAGUGAUGAUCUCUUACAUGGUGGUUUUGAUUCACUGAUUGUUGAGUGAAGACUUGAAUUUCCUUGGCUGUGUCUGAGCAU